CGAGAGCAUCCCCCAUUCUAUGCCAUUGAUAUGAUUAUUAAUGCACGAAGGAACAUUCUGUGACAUGAUACGAAUCUUAAUGGACGAAGGAUUAUUCCGCGUACCUUAUAUGAUUGAUUGGGUGAGGAAGAGUGAUAAAGCACGAUGGGUGAUGCCGUACAACUGUUAUUUUUCCUACUGUUGUUGAUAUUCUGUUGUGUUGUUUUCUUCCUUAUUUGGUGUUUUAUUUAAGGACUGUUACCUCUCCCAUAGCAUGCUCCCCUUCCUCUUAACUGGUUAAAUUUCUGUACGCUUUUGCUACCACAUAUAUACAUGUUAAACUACACAGGUUUGUUUGGUAGUCCUGUCUUGCCUCGUCACUACUACAUCGGGGUAAGGCUAGGCACUUACCAACACAUAGGGUUGGUUGUGCUGAUGCUACACUUCUAUGCUCUUUUGCAAAGAUUGCAGAGCGGCUUUUGGGCAGCAGUAGGAGCCUUGGGAGUUGACUUUAGUCCAGAGAUUUUGUGUUAGCCUUGUUGAUGUCCGCAUGGCCCAGAGUCACUUCUAUCUUUGUUUUUCGCUUGUUGUCCUUGUUUCGGAACAUACAUUAUUGUGUUUUAUUCAUGCUUUAUAUCUAGUAUUUGAUAGACGUUCGUGAGUAGUGACUCCAAUCUUGGGUAGAAUUGUAAUAUAAUAUUUCG
rnacentral:lncRNA from 1 species